rnacentral:rRNA from 1 species
UACGUAGGCAGCAAGCGUUGUUCGGAAUUACUGGGCGUAAAGAGUGUGUAGGCGGUGCUCCAAGUCUGGUGUGAAAUCUCCCGGCUUAACUGGGAGGGUGCAUUAGAAACUGGAAUGCUAGAGGAUGGGAGAGGUAAGCGGAAUUCCUGGUGUAGCGGUGAAAUGCGCAGAUAUCAGGAGGAACACCGAUGGCGAAGGCAGAUCUCUGGGCCGUUACUGACGCUGAGGAGCGAAAGCGUGGGGAGCGAACAGG